UUUGUCUUGCGCUUGUAUAAUCGUGGGGAUAUGGCCCACAAGUUUCUACCGCUUUUCCGUAAAAUAAGCGACUACAAAACAAAGACCU
rnacentral:ncRNA from 1 species